rnacentral:rRNA from 1 species
UGCCAGACUCCUACGGGAGGCAGCAGUGGGGAAUAUUGCACAAUGGGGGAAACCCUGAUGCAGCGACGCCGCGUGAGCGAUGAAGUAUUUCGGUAUGUAAAGCUCUAUCAGCAGGGAAGAAAAUGACGGUACCUGACUAAGAAGCCCUGGCUAACUACGUGCCAGCAGCCGCGGUAAUACGUAGGGGGCAAGCGUUAUCCGGAUUUACUGGGUGUAAAGGGAGCGUAGACGGCAGCGCAAGCCAGGAGUGAAAGCCCGGGGCCCAACCCCGGGACUGCUCUUGGAACUGCGCGGCUGGAGUGCAGGAGGGGCAGGCGGAAUUCCUGGUGUAGCGGUGAAAUGCGUAGAUAUCAGGAGGAACACCGGUGGCGAAGGCGGCCUGCUGGACUGCGACUGACGUUGAGGCCCGAAAGCGUGGGGAGCAAACAGGAUUAGAUACCCCCGUA